CCCUCCCAACACCCCCCAUCCACAGGUGUGUCCCCUCCCAACACCCCCCAUCCACAGGUGUGUCCCCUCCCAACAUCCCCAUGCACAUGUGUGAGGGCAGUGAGUGUCCCCUCCCAACACCCCCAUCCACAGGUGUGUCCCCUCCCAACAUCCCCAUCCACAGGUGUGUCCCCUCCCAACAUCCCCAUCCACAGGUGUGAGGGCAGUGAGUGUACCCUCCCAACACCCCCAUCCACAGGUGUGAGGGCAGUGAGUGUCCCCUCCCAACACCCCCAUCCACAGGUGUGAGGGCAGUGAGUGUCCCCUCCCAACACCCCCAUCCACAGGUGUGUCCCCUCCCAACAUCCCCCAUCCACAGGUGUGAGGGCAGUGAGUGUCCCCUCCCAACAUCCCCCCAUGUACAUGUGUGAAGGGAGGGAGGUUUUGGCCUAGUGCCCUUGACUAGAUAGACUUGGUCAGUUAUAAUCUUUACUCCUGAGUGAUAAACCAAAGGGGCUUACAUUUUGAACAGAGUUUAGUGGUUUGAUUUUUUUUUUAAUCUUUUAAAAUUCCAUCUGAGGAAUAUUGGAUCAAAAAAGCUUUCCUGGGCCUGGAGAGACAGCGUAGUGCUUAAGAGCUCCUGCUGCUGUCACAGAAAACCCAGGCUCAGUUUCUGUCAGUCACACUAUGGCUCACAGUCAUCUCUAACUCCAGCUCCAGGGGUCUCAUGCCCUCUUCUGACCUCUGCGGGCACCAACCACACACAAGCCACAUACACAUACUUACAGGCAGAGGAGCUGCAGAGAAAAGAAAAUGAAUAGGUAUAAUCUUUGGAAAUGUUUAAGCUUUACUUUGAAGAGCAGACAUUGGUUCCUAGUUUUAAAGCCUUGAGCAGUCCUGACUGUGUGACUUCCUUCUUUCUGAGCCUCUCCACGCACGGGGACAGUGCCAGAGGAUUGAGGUCACCCUGCUAACCCACAAGUUGUAUCGUUUUCAGUUAGAGAAAUAACCAAAGGCAGCCGUUGCUUGUGACCCA